rnacentral:rRNA from 1 species
UACGGAGGGUGCAAGCGUUAAUCGGAAUUACUGGGCGUAAAGCGCGCGUAGGCGGCUUGUUAAGUCGAAUGUGAAAUCCCCGGGCUCAACCUGGGAACUGCAUCCGAUACUGGCUGGCUAGAGUGUGGUAGAGGGAAGUGGAAUUUCCUGUGUAGCGGUGAAAUGCGUAGAUAUAGGAAGGAACACCAGUGGCGAAGGCGACCACCUGGACUGAUACUGACACUGAGGUGCGAAAGCGUGGGGAGCAAACAGGAUUAGAAA